rnacentral:rRNA from 1 species
ACGCUCGACACCUACAGGAGGCAGCAGUCGGGAAUAUUGCGCAAUGGAGGAAACUCUGACGCAGUGACGCCGCGUGCAGGAAGAAGGUUUUCGGAUUGUAAACUGCUUUAGACAGGGAAGAAAAAAGACAGUACCUGUAGAAUAAGCUCCGGCUAACUACGUGCCAGCAGACGCGGUAAUCUGAGCGGGCUGGCAAGGC